AUUGAACGCUGGCGGCAUGCCUUACACAUGCAAGUCGAACGGAUUCAAGAGGCUUGCUUCUUGAGUUAGUGGCGAACGGGUGAGUAAAGCAUCGGAACGUACCCAGUUGUGGGGGAUAACGUAGCGAAAGUUACGCUAAUACCGCAUACGCACUGAGGUGGAAAGCGGGGGACCGAAAGGCCUCGCGCAAUUGGAGCGGCCGAUGUCGGAUUAGCUAGUUAGUGAGGUAAAGGCUCACCAAGGCGACGAUCCGUAGCUGGUCUGAGAGGACGACCAGCCACACUGGAACUGAGACACGGUCCAGACUCCUACGGGAGGCAGCAGUGGGGAAUUUUGGACAAUGGGCGAAAGCCUGAUCCAGCCAUGCCGCGUGAGUGAAGAAGGCCUUCGGGUUGUAAAGCUCUUUCGGCCGGGAAGAAAUCGUAUCAGCUAAUACCUGGUGCGGAUGACGGUACCGGCAUAAGAAGCACCGGCUAACUACGUGCCAGCAGCCGCAGUAA
rnacentral:rRNA from 1 species